GGCUGAAUUAGAAUAUCCACAAUAAUGUCUAGUAGGGAAAAAAAUAAAAUGCAAAUAGAUGUGAUUAAGCCAUUGAGCUCAAUAGAUCAGUUGUAUUUGUCUACUGUUGACCUCAAGUUGACAUCUAGAUUUCUUAUAGGUUUUUGUGUGGGUCUUCAGUCUCAUUCAUGUAUAGCUCAUAUAUCUUUUGACUUUUUAACAAAUAGAUGACAAUGAAUGAACAGACAAGAGACAACGAGUGAUUGAAAUACCUCACAGUGGGUCUUUUGGAAGCUAGAUGUGGUGAUGGUUUAUAAUUAGUUACCUACAUAUCAGGAUUCCUAUUUCUACUUCUAGAAACUAGUUUAGCUGGACUGUCUUUAGAGUAAGUAAUAGACUGUGUACAUCUAUAUUUCAGACACAAUUGAUCUCUCGUUUUUCAGUUUGUUGAUUACUUAUUUUACAGUUUGUUAACCACUCAUUUUUCACUCAUUAACCACUCUUAUUUCAGUUUGUUAACCACUUAUUUUUCACUCAUUAACCAAUCAUAU
rnacentral:lncRNA from 1 species